rnacentral:rRNA from 1 species
UACGGAAGGGGCGAGCGUUACUCGGAAUUACUGGGCGUAAAGCGCCCGUAGGCGGCUUUGUAAGUUGGGGGUGAAAUCCCCGGGCUCAACUCGGGAACUGCCUUCAAGACUGCAAAGCUAGAGGACGCGAGAGGGUAGCGGAAUUCCGAGUGUAGAGGUGAAAUUCGUAGAUAUUCGGAAGAACACCAGUGGCGAAGGCGGCUACCUGGCGCGUUUCUGACGCUGAGGUGCGAAAGCGUGGGGAGCAAACAGG